rnacentral:rRNA from 1 species
UACGUAGGGUCCGAGCGUUGUCCGGAAUUAUUGGGCGUAAAGGGCUCGUAGGCGGCUUGUCGCGUCGACUGUGAAAACCCGUGGCUCAACCAUGUGGUCUGCAGUCGAUACGGGCAGGCUAGAAUUCGGUAGGGGAGACUGGAAUUCCUGGUGUAGCGGUGAAAUGCGUAGAUAUCGGGAGGAACACCAGUGGCGAAGGCGGCUUCCUGGCCUGUUCUUGACGCUGAGGCGCGAAAGCUAGGGGAGCAAACGGG